rnacentral:rRNA from 1 species
AGUAACGCGUAAACAACCUGCCCUUCGGAUGGGGAUAACAGCCGGAAACGGCUGCUAAUACCGAAUACGAUCUUUUCGUCGCAUGACGGAAAGAAGAAAGGAUGGCCUCUAUACAAAGCUAUCGCCGAAGGAGGGGUUUGCGUCUGAUUAGCUGGUUGGAGGGGUAACGGCCCAACAAGGCGAUGAUCAGUAGCCGGUCUGAGAGGAUGAACGGCCACAUUGGGACUGAGACACGGCCCAGACUCCUACGGGAGGCAGCAGAC